rnacentral:lncRNA from 1 species
UCUCAUGUAAUUUGUGUGUCGUGCUAGAAGAUGUGUCUGUACCUGGCUUGACUUUGCUUCAUUAAUAAAGUGGAGCAGGGGAAACACCUAUUAUUUAAAAAAAAGAAAAAAAUAGAAAAAAAAAGUAGAAGAAUAAAAAAAAUGAAAAAUGGUUCAGGAACCUCCUAAAAGAUUUCUGAAACCGAAAAAACCUGGCCGGGAACACCAAGAAGUUUCCUAAAAUCGAAAUCGCUGAAACGUCUUAACGGGCUGGCCCAUCCGAAUGCUCGUCGAUUUUUUCCUGUGUGUCGCAGCUACAACUUGCCGCAAUUAGCGGCAAAUAGGAAUUUUCUGCCUCCAGUCGUCGAGUCAAAACAUUGAUUUUGGUCCGAGCGCACAGGUUCAAGCGGCGGUUGCGUCGUCACCGCAGAAGCUGCCAAAAUCUUCCAUCUGCGUGUGGCCAUCCAACUGCGCAACGAGCCAUUUGCAGUUGCAGGCGAUGACAAUAUUCUCACCUUGAUCUUCAAGUCCCCCUUAUCUAAGUUAUCUUGCGUCGCAGUGAGCGAGCGGUGCGAGCUGGUAUCAGCUUAGAGCGUUCUCUCCUACUCCUAUAUUGCACCUUCUUUUGUUCUCAGAAGCGGUCCUAGGUUUCGUCUGACGCACCACUUCAAAAAGUUUACAGGAUUAGUUCAUCUCAUGGCAUUGACAAAUGACAACCCUGGGGUUUUCAUUUCCGUCCUCACUUUCAGUAGAAAGUGACGUCAAGCCAGCCCUAUCUGAAUGGAAUAGUUUCCAAGAAGAAGUUUCAGUGCAAGAAUUCAGAUAGAACUGAAGAGAUCGUUGCGGCCAGUGAGAUCUAGAUGACUCAGCAGAUGUUCAUGGAUCUCCAAUAAACUAGUUAUCUAACUAAGGUUCCUGAAUUUGUAGAGUGCAGACAUUCAGGCGAAUUAUACACAAGGGCAAAAAUUCAGAAGGAGGUGACUUUCUGCAGGUAUAUAGGUCCUUCUGGAGACUGGAGAGUUUACAGAGGUGUACUCGAGUCUGAGAUUCUGCCAGGGGAAAGAGCCUAUUAGUAGACAAACAAAGAUAGAUAGGCAUGAACCGCAAAGCAAUACCUACCGGCCUGAUGCGGCUUAAGAUGCAGUCACAAUUAUCUAACUGAUAAAUAGAAAAUCAAACAGUUGAAUGAUGGUCUUCUUCAGACUGCCUGGUAGAAUUUUCAGAUCUGCCAACAAGUGUAGAAUCUUUGGUCUAGUCUUGAACUAUUUUGUAGCCAUGUUUCUGGUUAGUGCUUUCCUACAGGAACUUGCACUAAGACGUGCAUCCUCCUGGAGUCACUACACAACCACUUGAUCACCAGAAAAAUAUCACUGAACUUUUCUGUUAUUUAAUUGCACCCUGGCUGUGCUAACAGAUAGUCAAUCUUCUGGGAUUUUAUGUUACGAUCAUAUAAAAGAAUCUGAAAGAAAAAUAAAAAAAGAAAAAGAAAAAGAAAAAAGAAACAGAGGAGAGAAGUAGAGAAGGGAACAGGACAAGUGAAAGCAACAUAACAAGUUUGAUGAUAUCUAUUCCCCCAGAUGUAUCAGUUCAGGCCACAGAUGGAGAUGGACAGCCUAAUACUAUACCGAUAAAAAACAUGGCUUACAGUUUCGACGAGUCCUACAAUUCAGUAGUACAGUAGAAAUUAUUUCUGAACCGGAGAAAACCAGGAGCCAUUGCCUGGCCUGCUCCCUCCCAUGAACAAAGAAGCUUUCUCCCAGCAAACCAGCGAUCCGCGGGGACUCCUCAGCCUCUGCCUCAGCAGCAUGGGUAGAUGGUGACAGAUCGCCGCUUCGGUGGGGUGCAGAGGAGCAUGAACACCAACGCGAUGACGGCCGCGACGAGGAGCCCCAGGAAGCUGAAGCCCGCCUCCUCCUCCGACUCGCUGCUGCAGCACAUCUUCCCCAUGCUGCCCGGUGCUUAGCUAGCUAUGCUGGAGAUCAAUGGUGGUCAGACCAAGAGAGGCUCGCUUCCUAGCAGUGGCGUGUUUCUUUCUUUCUUUCUUAUACCACGGCCAUGAUCUUGGCUUUAAGGCGCCGUGGUGUGGCCAGUUUGUUGGGGCGUCGCUAUCAGGUCUUCACUCAUGCCACCCUCCUGUGCUCUCCUUCCAUCUCUGAAGACAGCUCAGCCUAUGCUCGCACCCACCAAGGCCACUAACACCGGCCUGGGAUGGAACCGUUAGGCUGAUCGAUGAUCAACUGCCCAGAUGUUGAGAUAUAUAUCUG